AGCAAUGUGAUCUGUGGAAGGGCCCUUCUCUUUUCUUUCUAGUUGUGAAAAAAGGGAUAGUUCUAGAAAUCAAAUGCUGUUGUGGCUUGUCCAUGCACUGGAAAGGAAACCAUAUAGCCCUUUGGUCUUUUAGAGGCUCCUCUAACCCUUUUUUCUUAUCUUUUUUGUGAAAAUACUAGUAAUGGAAUAUCGACUUUUUCUUGUAUCGUGUGUUUCUUCACUGUCUCUUUUUGUUGUUCGUGAUGGUAGUUUGUGCUUUCAAAUGUUUAGAGCAUUNNNNNNNNNNNNNNNNNNNNGAGCAUUGUAUUAUUUCCCUAAACUUAUUACAGGAAAAAGAGGAUGAGGAGUAAAAUUGGCAGCAAUGUGAUCUGUGGAAGGGCCCUUUUCUUUUCUUUCUAGUUGUGAAAAAAGGGAUAGUUCUAGAAAUCAAAUGCUGUUGUGGCUUGUCCAUGCGCUGGAAAGGAAACCAUAUAGCCCGUUGGCCUUUUAGAAGCUCCUCUAACCCUUUUUUCUUAUCUUUUUUGUGAAAAUACUAGUAAUGGAAUAUCGACUUUUCUUUGUAUUGUGUGUUUCUUCACUGUUUCUUUUUGUUGUUCGUGAUUGUAGUUUGUGCUUUCAGUUGUUUAGAGCAUUCUGCCAUCACAGUUUCCGUAUGCAAAUGCUGCAAGGAUCAUUGUAUUUCAA
rnacentral:lncRNA from 1 species